rnacentral:rRNA from 1 species
UGGGGAAUUUUGGACAAUGGGGGCAACCCUGAUCCAGCCAUUCCGCGUGAGUGAAGAAGGCCUUCGGGUUGUAAAGCUCUUUUGUCCGGAACGAAACGGUUAGCGUGAAUAUCGCUGACUACUGACGGUACCGGAAGAAUAAGCACCGGCUAACUACGUGCCAGCAGCCGCGGUAAUACGUAGGGUGCGAGCGUUAAUCGGAAUUACUGGGCGUAAAGCGUGCGCAGGCGGUUUUGUAAGCCAGAUGUGAAAUCCCCGGGCUUAACCUGGGAAUGGCAUUUGGGACUGCAAGGCUGGAGUUUGGCAGAGGAGACUGGAAUUCCUGGUGUAGCAGUGAAAUGCGUAGAUAUCAGGAGGAAUACCGAUGGCGAAGGCAGGUCUCUGGGCUAUAACUGACGCUCAUGCACGAAAGCGUGGGGAGCAAACA